AAAGCCGAGUGGCUACUUUCACAGGAUGGCCCAUUAUUGCCAUAUCCUCUUCAGAGCCAAGUGUUAUCAGCUACUUCCAAAAUUUUCAUUUGGUGUAUUCUUCUGGUUCUGGGUAAUGGAAAGGCUUCCAUUGCAAACCCUGUUCCGCUAUCCUCCAGUUUUCAAGUCUCCAAGUAAUAGAUGGAAAGAUGCCACUUCCAUGGAGUUCUAUGGCAAAUUUGUUUCUCUAUCAGUAAAAAGAUUUCCAAGAAGAGUGCUUUUGAAGUCAAUUGGAUUCAAUUCCAUCUUAUUACGUGUUAGUCCUGUUUUUGCUGCACCAGUGCCAGAUAUGAAAGAACCUCAAGUUGUUAGUGUUCAGGACAUUAAAGCUUGACAGUGGAGUGAGGAUUCAAGAGAUUAUAGAAGGAGAAGGUUCAGAAGCUCAUGAAGGAGAUGUAGUUGAAAUAAAUUAUGUAUGUCGUCGAUCAAAUGGAUAUUUUGUCCACAGCACAGUGGAUCAAUUCAGUGGGGAAAGUUCACCUGUCAUACUUCCUUUGGAUGAGAACAGGAUUAUUAAGGGCUUGAAGGAUGUCUUAAUUGGCAUGAAAAUUGGAGGGAAGAGAAGAGCUUUGAUACCACCUUCUGUGGGGUACAUAAAUGAAACCUUGAAACCAAUACCAGAAGAGUUUGGCCCUCGACGAAGCCUUCUCUCUCAUGCAAAUGAGCCUCUAAUAUUUGAGGUGCAGCUUUUGAAAGUAUUAUGAGUUUGUCUUAAGAUUAAACAAAUGCAAUUUGUUUCUUACUGAUAUGGAAGAAAUUACAGUAAAAUGAAAUGUAUGAGAUAUGGAGAAAAUAAUUUUUACCACCUCUUUUUCUUUAA